rnacentral:rRNA from 1 species
CCUACGGGGGGCAGCAGUGGGGAAUAUUGGACAAUGGGGGGAACCCUGAUCCAGCCAUGCCGCGUGUGUGAAGAAGGCCCUCGGGUUGUAAAGCACUUUCAGUGAGGAAGAACGCCUGGUGGUUAAUACCCAUCGGGAAAGACAUUACUCACAGAAGAAGCACCGGCUAACUCCGUGCCAGCAGCCGCGGUAAUACGGAGGGUGCGAGCGUUAAUCGGAAUUACUGGGCGGAAAGCGCGCGUAGGUGGCUUGAUAAGCCGGUUGUGAAAGCCCCGGGCUCAACCUGGGAACGGCAUCCGGAACUGUCAAGCUAGAGUGCAGGAGAGGAAGGUAGAAUUCCCGGUGUAGCGGUGAAAUGCGUAGAGAUCGGGAGGAAUACCAGUGGCGAAGGCGGCCUUCUGGACUGACACUGACACUGAGGUGCGAAAGCGUGGGUAGCAAACAGGAUUAGAUACCCGUGUAGUC